UGUUCUGAAUACAGUGUCGCCUGGAGCCAUCCAUGGACGAGGAGGAGGUCGAACAAGAGCUGCGCAGAUACUUCACGAACAUAGCAGACGAUGAACCUGAGGAGAGAGGUAAUGACUUACCUCUCCCAGCAGGUUGUCGAGGAUGCGGAGCAGCUCCAGGCGAUGGCUCCUUACCAGACCUGCA
rnacentral:lncRNA from 1 species